rnacentral:rRNA from 1 species
UAUUGCACAAUGGGGGAAACCCUGAUGCAGCGACGCCGCGUGAGUGAAGAAGUACUUCGGUAUGUAAAGCUCUAUCAGCAGGGAAGAAAAUGACGGUACCUGAUUAAGAAGCCCCGGCUAACUACGUGCCAUCAGCCGCGGGAAUACGUAGGGGGCAAGCGUUAUCCGGAUUUACUGGGUGUAAAGGGAGCGUAGACGGCAGCAGAAGUCUGAAGUGAAAUGCCGGGGCUUAACCCCGGAACUGCUUUGGAAACUGUGAAGCUAGAGUGCAGGAGAGGUAAGUGGAGUUCCUAGUGUAGCGGUGAAAUGCGUAGAUAUUAGGAGGAACACCAGUGGCGAAGGCGGCUUACUGGACUGUAACUGACGUUGAGGCUCGAAAGCGUGGGGAGCAAACAGG